GGCCCUUGGGUGACAUCCAAUAAAAUUGGAAUGGCACAGAGAGGAUUGGCACGACCCUUAUGCAAGGAUGACUCGCACUCUCUCACACACAAUUAACAAUACU